rnacentral:rRNA from 1 species
CUUGGUCAUUUAGAGGAAGUAAAAGUCGUAACAAGGUUUCCGUAGGUGAACCUGCGGAAGGAUCAUUAAAGAGACGUUGCCCUCCGGGGUAUACCUCCCACCCUUUGUUUAUUAUACCUUUGUUGCUUUGGCGGGCCCGUCCUCGGAUCACCGGCUCCGGCUGGUCAGCGCCCGCCAGGGGACCUAAAACUCUGUUUGUUCAUAUUGUCUGAGCACUAUAUAAUAGUUAAAACUUUCAACAACGGAUCUCUUGGUUCUGGCAUCGAUGAAGAACGCAGCGAAAUGCGAUAAGUAAUGUGAAUUGCAGAAUUCAGUGAAUCAUCGAAUCUUUGAACGCACAUUGCGCCCCCUGGUAUUCCGGGGGGCAUGCCUGUUCGAGCGUCAUUACAACCCUCAAGCUCUGCUUGGUAUUGGGCUCUGCCGGUCCCGGCAGGCCCUAAAAUCAGUGGCGGUGCCAUCCGGCUUCAAGCGUAGUAAUUCUUCUCGCUUUGGAGGCCCGGGUGCGUGCUUGCCAGCAACCCCCAAUUUUUUUCAGGUUGACCUCGGAUCAGGUAGGGAUACCCGCUGAACUUAAGCAUAUCAAUAAGCGGAGGA